UUUGGAUGCAGAAGUAUAAGUAACUUUUCGACUUUUAAAAGUCGAAAAGUCGAAAACUAGGUUGGGUAACAUGUUUUAGAUUGACUUCAAGAAGUUGAUAAGUAGCUUUUUUUUGGAGCCAACAUUUUUGACUUCGGACUUCUGAGAGAAGUUGCUUCUCCUCGUAAGUGUCGGUCCUCGUUUUUCUUUCUCUCCUCGUUAUUAACUUCCAUUCAGUGGAGCUGUGAAAGAAGAAGAAGCUGUGAGAGAAGAACAAUGCUGAAAUAAUUUUCUUUUUCUCAUCAAUCACGAUUCAAGAUUACAUUUGGUAGCGACACUCUUUUGGCUAGAACUGUAACAAACUAUAUCCAGAGAAGAAACUGGGAUCAACAAAGUAUAAGUUGCGUUUUUUAUUUGCUUGAUUACUUUACAAUUAGCUUACAUGGAGGUAGAAAAAGCUCUGUGGUGGGUAAGAAAAGAUGGGUCAUCCCAGUUCAAGACUGUAAUUGAAGAUGUCAAUGAUUAUCCCCGAAAAGAACACUAAAAGCUCGCUCUCUGUUAUCAGUAUUGGAACAAGUUAUGGGUGGGUCUGGGCGAAGCCUACUGACAUUUAGAGUUUUUGAAGGCAUGUCAGCGAGCAAGGUUUUACUGUAUAGCAGUGUUACCUUUGAGUUUAAUUCGGUUUGAUGUUGUGACUGUUGCCUUUAUAUAAUUUUCUUGUAUAUAAUCUCUAAUAAUGUGCAAUAUAUCCCUUUGGAUAGUA